GCGACCCCAGGUCAGACGGGAU
rnacentral:rRNA from 26 species